rnacentral:piRNA from 1 species
UGUACCACAUGUAGUAUCUGGGCAAAC